rnacentral:rRNA from 1 species
UCUACGGGAGGCAGCAGUGAGGAAUAUUGGUCAAUGGGCGAGAGCCUGAACCAGCCAAGUCGCGUGAGGGAGUACUGCCCUAUGGGUUGUAAACCUCUUUUGUCGGGGAGCAAAAGCCGGACGUGUCCGGCUGUGAGAGUACCCGAAGAAAAAGCAUCGGCUAACUCCGUGCCAGCAGCCGCGGUAAUACGGAGGAUGCGAGCGUUAUCCGGAUUUAUUGGGGUAAAAGGGUGCGCAGGCGGAAUUUUAAGUCAGCGGUCAAAUCGUGGGGCUCAACCCCAUCCAGCCGUUGAAACUGGGGAUCUAGAGUGUGCGAGAGGUAUGCGGAAUGCGUGGUGUAGCGGUGAAAUGCAUAGAUAUGACGAAGAACCCCGAUUGCGAAGGCAGCUUACUAAACUGUGACUGACAUUGAUGCUCGAAAGUGUGGGUAUCAAACAGGAUUAGAUACCCCUGUAGUC